rnacentral:rRNA from 1 species
ACUCAAAGGAAUUGACGGGGACCCGCACAAGCGGUGGAUGAUGUGGUUUAAUUCGAUGCAACGCGAAAAACCUUACCUACCCUUGACAUGCCAGGAAUCUUGCAGAGAUGUGAGAGUGCUCGAAAGAGAACCUGGACACAGGUGCUGCAUGGCCGUCGUCAGCUCGUGUCGUGAGAUGUUGGGUUAAGUCCCGCAACGAGCGCAACCCUUGUCAUUAGUUGCUACGAAAGGGCACUCUAAUGAGACUGCCGGUGACAAACCGGAGGAAGGUGGGGAUGACGUCAGGUCAUCAUGGCCCUUAUGGGUAGGGCUACACACGUCAUACAAUGGCCGGGACAGAGGGCUGCCAACCCGCGAGGGGGAGCUAAUCCCAGAAACCCGGUCGUAGUCCGGAUCGCAGUCUGCAACUCGACUGCGUGAAGUCGGAAUCGCUAGUAAUCGCGGAUCAGCUUGCCGCGGUGAAUACGUUCCCGGGUCUUGCACACACCGCCCGU